AAUAGAUACCCCGGUAGUCCAUGCCGUAAACGUUGGGAACUAGAUGUGGGGACCAUUCCACGGUCUCCGUGUCGCAGCUAACGCAUUAAGUUCCCCGCCUGGGGAGUACGGCCGCAAGGCUAAAACUCAAAGGAAUUGACGGGGGCCCGCACAAGCGGCGGAGCAUGCGGAUUAAUUCGAUGCAACGCGAAGAACCUUACCAAGGCUUGACAUAUACCGGAAAGUUCUGGAAACAGUCCCCCCGCAAGGUCGGUAUACAGGUGGUGCAUGGUUGUCGUCAGCUCGUGUCGUGAGAUGUUGGGUUAAGUCCCGCAACGAGCGCAACCCUCGUUCUAUGUUGCCAGCGGUUCGGCCGGGGACUCAUAGGAGACUGCCGGGGUCAACUCGGAGGAAGGUGGGAUGAGGUCAAAUCAUCAUGCCCCUUAUGUCUUGGGCUUCACGCAUGCUACAAUGGCCGGUACAAAGGCUGCAAUACCGCAAGGUGGAGCGAAUCCCAAAAAGCCGGUCUCAGUUCGGAUUGAGGUCUGCAACUCGACCCAUG
rnacentral:rRNA from 1 species